CCUACGGGGGGCAGCAGUGGGGAAUAUUGGACAAUGGGGGCAACCCUGAUCCAGCAAUUCUGUGUGCACGAAGAAGGUUUUCGGAUUGUAAAGUGCUUUCAGCAGGGAAGAAAAAAAUGACGGUACCUGCAGAAGAAGCGACGGCUAAAUACGUGCCAGCAGCCGCGGUAAUACGUAUGUCGCAAGCGUUAUCCGGAAUUAUUGGGCAUAAAGGGCAUCUAGGCGGCCAGAUAAGUCUGGGGUGAAAACUUGCGGCUCAACCGCAAGCCUGCCCUGGAAACUAUAUGGCUAGAGUACUGGAGAGGUGGACGGAACUGCACGAGUAGAGGUGAAAUUCGUAGAUAUGUGCAGGAAUGCCGAUGAUGAAGAUAGUUCACUGGACGGUAACUGACGCUGAAGUGCGAAAGCUAGGGGAGCAAACAGGAUUAGAUACCCGAGUAGUC
rnacentral:rRNA from 1 species